UCCCCUAGUAACUGCGAGUGAAGCGGGAAAAGCUCAAAUUUAAAAUCUGGCAGCAUUUGGCUGUCCGAGUUGUAACCUAGAGAAGUGUUGCCCGUGCUGGACCAUGUANAAGUCUCCUGGAACGGAGCGUCGCAGAGGGUGAGAAUCCCGUGUAUGACAUGGACUGCCAGUACAGUGUGGUAUGCUCUCAAAGAGUUGAGUUGUUUGGGAAUGCAGCUCUAAAUGGGUGGUAAAUUCCAUCUAAAGCUAAAUAUUGGCGAGAGACCGAUAGCGAACAAGUACCGUGAGGGAAAGAUGAAAAGAACUUUGGAAAGAGAGUUAAACAGUACGUGAAAUUGUUGAAAGGGAAACGUUUGAAGUCAGUCGUGUUGGUCAGGGAUCAACCUGGCUAUUUUGCUAGGUGUAUUUUCUGGCUGACGGGUCAACAUCAGUUUUUGACCACUGGAGAAAGGCGGAGGGAAUGUGGCACCUUUUAAGGUGUGUUAUAGCCCUCAGUCAUAUGCAGUGGUUGGGACUGAGGAAUGCAGUGCGCCACACGGCCGGGUUUCGACCACGUUCGCACUUAGGAUG
rnacentral:rRNA from 1 species